rnacentral:lncRNA from 1 species
CUAGAGUGAAUUGCCCAGAGACCUCUGGUCAACAAGGUCACACAACGACCUAGACUGGCAAGAAAGAGGCUGUAUCUCAACUCAUGCUUUCAUGAUCAUCCAGGAAACGGACACCAUUCUAGGGACCAGGGACAGGGCGAGACAAGCUCUCGUGGAGACCACAGUCCAGUGGAGGAGAAAGACAAUUAGAAAGGCACCCAAGAAACAAGCAAGAUUGUCUCAGAGAGUGAUGAACGCUGUGAAAAAAGGGCCAGAGUGACAAGGACAGAGAAGUGGUUGGUGGUUUCUUCUUUCAUACAAAAUUACGAGCCUCCAAUGGUCAAGACCUCUGACUCGGUGUUCCGGGGACG